UUCAACUCUGCUCCAACAAGCCAAACUCCCGAGGCUGAGAAAAAAAAAAGUCAAGAUAGCGAGUGACUGAAAACAUUGCCCUCUCUGAGCACUGAGACAUACUUCCACAGUAAACUGAUUAAAAAAAGAACAAAAACAACACGGAGAGCUAACAAUCAGAAGGCUUCGGAGUUGGCAAGCAAGGUAAAUGGUCAGUGACGGCCUCCGUGUCUCAACAUCCUUGCAAACUGAAGGAUGUCAGCAAAGUAGAGGGAAAGUGGAAUGAGUGGUCCUCGUCAACGGUGACCUUCCAGCUGGAUAUCCACAACUUCCAUCUUCCCAAGCCAAGGAGCCCCAUAGAGCAACUCCCAAACCGGGUCAUUAGCACAGUGGUGUCACCAGACAGCAGAUCACGGGCCAGAGAGGGAGCAAGAGGGGGACUCCUGGCACUGCAGAGACUGCUGUGCGGUUUGACAUUCAGGGCUGGCUGAUCUAUGGGGCUGGGGAGACAGUGCCCUUGCUCUGGGUCUUCAUGAGGAGAAGGUUCUGGCAGAUUUCCCCUUACUUACUCCAUCAUAAAACUUGGGUCACAAGAUGUUAGACUCACAUAGCUCUUACUUGCAACAUCACGACCCAAGCUGUAGGGUGUCAUCAUGGUUUUAGUGACACUAUUAUCAGCUGCGCCACUGGAUCCAAUAUUAACUGAUUUGUAGCGUGAUUCAAUUCCUAGAUAAACUCACUCAGCAUCAGGCUGCAUUACUAUAGUGUCCAGAAUAUACUGCUAUGUACUGUACAUUUAUUCUCUUAGACCAGGUUUAAAUGGCUUGUCAUGACAAUAACCUCCACAAAGAUUUGUAAUUGGCAUGAAGAAUACCAUUUAACCACAAUGGGACGGUUUCAUAGUGUGAUCAAAAAUCAUUCUAGGGAUUUUAUGUCUUUCUCAAAUGGCUUUGACCUCCACAGCCCGUCUCCAGCAAAUGGUGACCACUAUGAACAUGCCAAGAAAGAAGAUCCCCUGGGAGCAUUACCAUGAGCCAAGAUGAACAUUAAAAUCUCCCGGUGAAGAUGGACAUUUUCCACUUGGCACCAGCCACACAAGAUGAAAGGGAAAGAAACCUUUUCAACACUUUUUUUCUUACUAAAAUGAGAGUGAUUUUUUUCUUGCUCAUUACCACUCUCUCAUUAGGAGAUCUUCCCCGCAAGAUGAGAUCAAGCCUACUCACCUCUCUAUAUGCUGGUAGUUAACUAAGCUGCAGCAUGUACGUGUGCUACAGAGCCCCUUAUCAUACAGAACAUUUUACACAAUCUGCCACACUCAGCUCGGAGUGGUACCAAUGUGUGAUUACCAGGUUCAAUGGAUCCCACACUGAAUUUAACUAUUUAGUCAAGCGUAUUUUUCAGAAUUAUACCUAUAUCAUGGCUAAAGUGAAGUAGCUACUUAUUUUUGUUAUACUGACGAAUUAACUCCAGGAGAAUGGAAUUUAUAAACUCUGUAACCUCAAAAGCAAACAGAAAACGUGUGUUGCACCUAACUUAACCCAGAAUUAGGCCUUUGUGAGUUUUGUGAACAAAUUCGUAGUCAAUGACUACAGCUCAAAUGAAAGCUUUUUGACUCUCUUGCAGAGUAAUGAGCUGGAGUGCAAAUUACGAGCAGCCAUCUUCUCAUCAGCAUGUCCAAUUUACUCCGGGGCCGUCCCUGGAAAAUAGGCAGCUGUGGAGAAUGACUGGUGUGUUGUAGUUGUGUGAAGGCAUGUGGAUACAAAAGGCUCUGAAGGAUUAGAAGAAGCCUCACUCCCAGGCCAUGCACGCAUUAUUCAUCCCACCUCCUCCUCACCCCUCUCACCUUCAUCACAACCACCCGCCUACCACCUUUCUUGCUCCCAGAUGACUCCCCCACUUCCCUGACAGUUGCAUAAGCCCCUAGAACCUCUCUCCGGACUAUGGUUGCGUGAGUUGGGAGUUGGGAUGGUGUUAAUUAAAAGAAAAGGUUAACACACACGGGGUUGGCAGAAGGCACGUUCAAGAGGCUCCCUUGGUAGAGCAGCUGCUCACUGUUUCCUCCCUCAGAGGCCCCCUGGAAGGGACCAGCGACAAGGGAUGGAAGCCAGGUGAUUGGGGACACCAGGAUGUAGGAGUGACUGGGCCAUAAAGGAUGGAGCUGAUUUGACCCUCCCACUAAGGAGCAACCGGGGGUGUAGGAUGUGGUUCCACUCACUUGUCCAGUACCUCCCUGCAUGCCUGGGCUUUGGUUUGGAGCUGAUUAGUGUGUCCCAGAGAAAGUCUCACCUCCCUAAACACUGCCCACACACACACAUACCUUCGUUAGAGUGGGAUGCACGCCAGGCCCAUUUAGAGGAGUAUGUCAGAGAGGUAAGGAGAAACAGACAAAGAGUGGUAUGACAGGAGACAAAGAAAAGGUACUGAAAUGGCCUUUCAGAGAGAAAAAGUCAUGUUAGACAUCAAAGAAGGGGUCAAAGGGUUACGUGGGACUGAACAGGCACAGAAGUUAAGUCUCGUAAAAUUAGUGCAUCAAGAUCCUGCACAGCUGUUGUAGCUGACUGCGCCAUGUGUGAUGUUCUGUCUGUGGGAGAUCAUUAAAUAAUGAUAAAUUAUCACUUCAUAUGGCUCAAAUAUGUAGCAUUGUUUUUAAAAAAAGAAUAUUCAUUUGGGAAAAUAGUUGGCCUAGUUUAGGAGAGCGAACAUUGAAAUAGGUGCUUUGCAUCAAUUGGGAAUAAAUGAUAAAUGGAUCACACUUAGCAGCAAUAUUUAAAAAAAUAAUUCAUUAAAGUAAAUUAAGCACAAUAAAUCAGUUUAAUAUCCUAAAUUAAGACUAAAUAUUUUUUUCUAAAAUCUAAAUCUAAAAUCUUUGUAUUUUUGGUUCUUUGUUUUUACUGUGAACACAAUAACCUACAAUUACCUCUCCCACUAAAUUCUCUCACAAAUGGCUCCUAAUAUUCUCUAUCCUAGGUCAAUUCAUUGUGACGAUCAAACAUACCACACUGAUUCCCACUUAAAUUAAUUCCAAUAAAUACUCAUGAGCUUUAAAGACAAACAAGAGGGAGUGAAACAGUUUUUCCCUCCGUUCCCCCCCAAACAAGCGGAGAUAAUUAAACAUCUAUCCUCAGAGAAGAAGUGUUCCCACUGGAAGGUUGUUUGGUUUAAGGAUUUGCUCAGUGGUUUGACUCGCCAGGGACUCUCCAUUUAAGUCUCAAGGUUUUAUAUCUCUAACAAGGCUUUAAUUGCCAAGGUAACAGACCACCUGAUUAAGGCUGACAAUAAGUCUUCUUUAUCUGUGGGAUAGGAGCGAGCAGACUAGACUGCAGGGAUGAGUAGGAAUAUUCAAAUUCAUUUAUCAGUGAGUCAUGUAUUCAUGCUCAAUAAGGUUGUUAUUUUUAUACAGAAACAUAUUGUAUGGUCAUGCACCUCAGCAGUGUGAACCUUCCUCAAAAAUUCUAUUUACUGCAUGUCAACUUUAGAAAUGCACAGUACUUGCAGGAAAAAAUCCUAAUUCUACUGAGAGUGUGGAGGAGGCGGCACUCAAAGCCUCAGGUCCCAUGCCAUGUGCCCUCCUUAUUGUAACGAGUGCAUUUCUCUCCUCAAACUCUGACUGGUGAGUGUGUUGAGGAGGAGGGGUAUUCUUCAGAGGAGACAGGGAGCGUCUGGUGGUGAAAAACUCUGUGUUAAAGUCCCAUCUCUCCUGUCAGAGGGCUGACACGGGGCACCAAGGGACACGGGGGCCUUUGGUGCGCAGAGUCUGGACACUGGCCUAGUUUCCCUCCUCUUCUCCCCUCCACAACCCACCAAUCCCCCUCUUACAACAUCCCACCUACAAAACACUCCUCAGCCGACCCAUCUCAUCUGUUCUGUACUGUCAUCCUGACCUCAAUGAACUGCCCUCCUCCUCCAACACCACCUCUACACCCAUUCACUUCAUCCUGGCUUUUUUUUUCUUGCUUUCACUUUUUCUUGGCAAUCCUGUUAAUGUGUGAAAUAUUAAAAGUCGUCUUGAAAAUAGAAUUUUCGACAGUAAACUAAAACAACAAAGCUGAUACAUGUUUCAGUACGUUUCAGUAUGUAGUAGUAGUAGUGUUCACACUAGGAAAAAUUAUACUAAAAACAGUCCCAAUGCACUCUAAGAGAAUUAAUGUGAUGUUGAUGGACACCAUUUUCCCACAAUGCAAUGCACAAAAGAAAUGGAGGAGCCAAUCACACCUGCCAAACAUUUAAACUGGUUGUGAAUGGUAGUGAAAAAACUCCAGGAUCACCUCAGAACCCCCCCACCCCCCACCCCCCAAAAAACCCAUUUCACUCUCCCUUGAUUGAUGUAUCAUUUCCUAGUAUAAAACACUUAAGAAUGUUCAUUUAUUGUUUGAUAACUGCAAAAACAGUAUGUUUUAUAGAAUUGCAUAGUACAUACUGUAUAAAGCAGGGAUAGUAUUAAUAAAAGGUAUACAGCUUGUCAAAGCAACACUUGGCUUGUUAUUCUGGUGGUUUCUUAUUAAAGCAUAGCUCACCAUUGAGAUCCAUUUGAUUGAUUUUGGAUGGUGUAUAUGUACUGUCUCUUGGGGCAUUUAUUUAUUUUAUUUAUUUAUUACUUUAAAUUUUGUGAGCAUGAAAGGUCAGUGUCUGUGUAUGAUUGACUGCAGCUGAGCUCCUGCAGGGGAAGACUGAGUCAAAGAAAACAAACUUGCCCUGUAGCGUAUAAGCCAUGGGCAGAAAGUGCGUUGUUAUCGGUUGUGUUGGAAGAGUAAGGACCACAACAGCAUCUACACAGACCAAAGUGAUAUUUGCAGGUAUGUUUACAUGCUGUUUAAUGUGCUACAGCUGACCACCUAAUUAGCUAUCUCGCCUGCAAACUGACUGAUUAGCAGUGCACUUUUUCCUGGUGAAUGUUUAUUCGGCCACACGUUCAAAAAGUGCAGGACAAGACGUGUGUUCAUGUUAGUAAGUUAGAUGAAGAGAAAGCUAAACUGGCUUGUUCAAAAUCUGCGGUGAUUGUGUUGCGUAGAAGACUGCUGUCUGGCAGUUAGUGUGACCGUCUGUCUACAAUGGAACAUUAUGUAAAUAUGGUUUAAAAUUAAAUGAUUUAAUUGCAUGUAUUGAAACUAACUAACAAGCCAAAAAAUUGUAGACACACAGGAUAUGUUAUUUAUAGAGCAGGUGUGUAUGCUGUAGCACUAAGACAACAUGCAAUUUAAUUUCAGUUGGCUUUAAGGCAAGACCCACCAGAGCUCAGAAAAAAAGCUCGCAAGUGGACCCUGAGUUAAGAUUAUUUUUUAAAACUGAAACUAAACUCUUCCCUCUUUUAGUUUUUUUUAAAGAUGUUGUGAAUGGAUGUUUACUAAUCAGUGCCAUAUGUCUGCUGUUACAGUAUCUCCCAGGUGAGACCAGAGACAGUUUUCCACUAUUGUGAGUAAUAAAGUCUCAUUAUGAUCUAACAUC